rnacentral:rRNA from 1 species
GAUCAUGGCUCAGAUUGAACGCUAGCGGGAUGCCUUACACAUGCAAGUCGAACGGCAGCACGGACUUCGGUCUGGUGGCGAGUGGCGAACGGGUGAGUAAUGUAUCGGAACGUGCCUAGUAGCGGGGGAUAACUACGCGAAAGCGUAGCUAAUACCGCAUACGCCCUACGGGGAAGGACAGGGAGUCGCAAGAACCUUGCACUAUUAGAGCGGCCGGAUAUCGGAGUUAGCUAGUUGGUGGGGUAACGGG